GCUGGAUAUGAAAGUGGCGCACGGGUGCGUAACGCGUAUGCAACCUACCUUAAUCAGGGGGAUAGCCCGAAGAAAUUCGGAUUAACACCGCAUAAAAACACAGGAUAGCAUUAUCCAAUGUUCAAAUAUUUAUAGGAUUAAGAUGGGCAUGCGUGUCAUUAGCUAGUUGGCGGGGUAAUGGCCCACCAAGGCGACGAUGACUAGGGGAUCUGAGAGGAUGACCCCCCACACUGGUACUGAGACACGGACCAGACUCCUACGGGAGGCAGCAGUAAGGAAUAUUGGUCAAUGGAGGCAACUCUGAACCAGCCAUGCCGCGUGCAGGAAGACUGCCCUAUGGGUUGUAAACUGCUUUUAUCUGGGAAUAAACCUAUUUACGUGUAAGUAGCUGAAUGUACCAGAAGAAUAAGGAUCGGCUAACUCCGUGCCAGCAGCCGCGGUAAUACGGAGGAUCCAAGCGUUAUCCGGAUUUAUUGGGUUUAAAGGGUGCGUAGGCGGCCUGUUAAGUCAGAGGUGAAAGACGGUAGCUCAACUAUCGCAGUGCCUUUGAUACUGAUGGGCUUGAAUGAACUAGAGGUAGGCGGAAUGAGACAAGUAGCGGUGAAAUGCAUAGAUAUGUCUCAGAACACCGAUUGCGAAGGCAGCUUACUAUGGUUUUAUUGACGCUGAGGCACGAAAGCGUGGGGAUCAAACAGGAUUAGAUACCCUGGUAGUCCACGCCCUAAACGAUGAAUACUCGCUGUUAGCGAUAUACAGUUAGCGGCUAAGCGAAAGCGUUAAGUAUUCCACCUGGGGAGUACGCUCGCAAGAGUGAAACUCAAAGGAAUUGACGGGGGCCCGCACAAGCGGAGGAGCAUGUGGUUUAAUUCGAUGAUACGCGAGGAACCUUACCCGGGCUUGAAAGUUAGUGAAUUAUUCAGAGAUGAAUAAGUGAGCAAUCACACGAAACUAGGUGCUGCAUGGCUGUCGUCAGCUCGUGCCG
rnacentral:rRNA from 1 species